AGUGAACGCUGGCGGUAGGCCUAACACAUGCAAGUCGAACGGCAGCACAGUAAGAGCUUGCUCUUACGGUUGGCGAGUGGCGGACGGGUGAGGAAUACAUCGGAAUCUACUUUUUCGUGGGGGAUAACGUAGGGAAACUUACGCUAAUACCGCAUACGACCUACGGGUGAAAGCAGGGGAUCUUCGGACCUUGCGCGAUUGAAUGAGCCGAUGUCGGAUUAGCUAGUUGGCGGGGUAAAGUCCCACCAAGGCGACGAUCCGUAGCUGGUCUGAGAGGAUGAGAAGCCACACUGGAACUGAGAAACGGUCCAGACUCCUACGGGAGGCAGCAGUGGGGAAUAUUGGACAAUGGGCGCAAGCCUGAUCCAGCCAUACCGCGUGGGUGAAGAAGGCCUUCGGGUUGUAAAGCCCUUUUGUUGGGAAAGAAAAGCAGCAGGUUAAUACCCCGCUGUUCUGACGGUACCCAAAGAAUAAGCACCGGCUAACUUCGUG
rnacentral:rRNA from 1 species